CGGAAAACUACAUAUUUCUACCACAAAAUUCGUAACUAAUCUCUUCUUCCAUAUGCUGAUAAUACACAAUUAAGCUUCAACCACAGCUUACAAGAUGGAUGCUUCGCCACAUUCACAAGUCGAUUUAAGAACAAAAAGGGGGAGAUUAAAGCGGAUAAGGUGGAUUGAGAAAGGGCCCUACUAACCCUAGGGCGAACCUUUGGAUGAAGCUUCGCCUCGAAAGCGGCGGCGGCGGAGGGAUUCCUAGGGGCCCUACUACUCUUUCUCUCUCUCUCCUAGGGUUUCUCUCUCUCCCCCUCUCUCUCUUCUCUACGGAGGCGGCGAGGGAUUCCUCUCUCUUCCCUAGGUGCGGCGGCGCCGACCCCGUCUCCCUCCGCCGCCGCCGCCGCCGUUUUCGAGGCGAAGCUUCAUCCAAAGGUUCGCCCUAGGGUUAGUAGGGCCCUUUCUCAAUUCACCUUAUCCGCUUUAAUCUCCCCCUUUUUGUUCUUAAAUCGACUUGUGAAUGUGGCGUAGCAUCCAUCUUGUAAGCUGUGGUUGAAGCUUAAUUGUGUAGUAUCAGCAUAUGGAAGAAAAGAUUAGUUACGAAUUUUGUGGUAGAAAUAUGUAAUAUCCCGGCUUGUAUAUUCCUGUUCUUGGUGCUUCCGGUCGCGGCUCCGACGGAUUCGUGGUAAGAAACUGAGGUAAAAUGAGGUAAGAGAGAGACGGUGACAGAGAUAGGGAAGAGAAAGAAGAGAAUUAGGGAGAGAAAUAGUAGAGAAUAGGGAGUAGAAAUAUAGCUAGAGAUAGAGAUAGAGGAUUGGGGGGAAAGAAAUGGGGAAGAGAAGUAGUGGAGAAGAAGUAGGGUUUGGAGAAGAACUUUUGGGGAGAAAAUAGACUAAUUCAUUUCAUUCCUUCAUGCCUUGCAAUUACAUCCCGUUAACUAUAUAUAGCCUAUACAACUUGUACUGAAUUGUAAGCAAACUAAGCUACUAGGGGUUAACAGCAAUUUGUCAAAAAUGGGGAAUGAGGCCUGAUGGGUUGAAUCUGGUUGCUUGUGGGCCUUGGGUGGUUUUGUUUGGUCCGAAACUACAUGUUAACCGGGUAAGCGGUUCGCGGGUUCGCCUACUCCGCACUAUCCACAACCAGGCGGGGCUUGGGUCCGCGUUUUACGCCCGAUCCGGUAAUCCGACCGCCCGCUACCCGCUAUCGAGUUACCCGUUCCUCCGCUCUCUUCCUCCGCCCUCCAGAUCCUGCAGAAGCCUCCGCCCAUCUACCUCGAUCCUCCCUCUUCUCCUUCGGAGCACCCAGGAUGCCCUAGUCCUCGUCGGAGUUCCACCCGAGCACCUUCCCGCCGUCCCGCUUGGCGCGCUUCCUCCUCUCCGACCGGCUGCCGCCCUUAUUCUCCAUCUUAACUGAGUAAAGUUGGCAUUUUUACUACUCUCCCUGCUAACUCCUACUACUACUACUACUUCUACCAUUUAUUCUUCAGGGUUGUUACAAAAUAGUAGUUUUGGCAUUGAUUUUUCUUUCUUUGAUUCGCAGUUUAGUCCCUAUGGCUUGAAAUCGGUUUCAAUUUCGCCUGUUGAGAAGUAGAAUGAUAGAAACAUUGCUUCACCUUUUCUUUUUAAGACCCAGAAAAAAAAAAAACUAAUAGAAAAAUCAUAAUUGUUAUGCAGGACAAGUUUUAGGGAGUAAUUUGUUACAGUU